UGAGGGAAAGGCGAAAAGAACCCCGGCGAGGGGAGUGAAAAAGAACCUGAAACCGUGUACGUACAAGCAGUGGGAGCACCCUUUUGGGUGUGACUGCGUACCUUUUGUAUAAUGGGUCAGCGACUUAUAUUCUGUAGCAAGGUUAACCGCAUAGGGGAGCCGGAGGGAAACCGAGUCUUAAUUGGGCGUUAAGUUGCAGGGUAUAGACCCGAAACCCGGUGAUCUAG
rnacentral:rRNA from 1 species